CCAGACUCCUACGGGAGGCAGCAGUGAGGAAUAUUGGUCAAUGGUCGGGAGACUGAACCAGCCAAGCCGCGUGAGGGAUGAAGGUACAGAGUAUCGUAAACCUCUUUUGUCAGGGAACAAAGGCGGGGACGUGUCCCCGGAUGGGUGUACCUGAAGAAAAAGCAUCGGCUAACUCCGUGCCAGCAGCCGCGGUAAUACGGAGGAUGCGAGCGUUAUCCGGAUUUAUUGGGUUUAAAGGGUGCGCGGGCGGCAGCGCAAGUCGGGGGUAAAAUGGGGGGGCCCACCCUCUGCCCGCCGUUGAAACUGCGUUUCUUGAGUGGGCGAGAAGUACGCGGAAUGCGUGGUGUAGCGGUGAAAUGCAUAGAUAUCGCGCAGAACUCCGAUUGCGAAGGCAGCAUGCCGGCUCCACACUGACGCUGAGGCACGAAAGCGUGGGUAUCGAACAGGAUUAGAUACCCCCGUA
rnacentral:rRNA from 1 species